rnacentral:rRNA from 1 species
AGGGUUUGAUCCUGGCUCAGGACGAACGCUGGCGGCGUGCUUAACACAUGCAAGUCGUACGAGCUUUGGAGGGCUUGCUCUUCAAGGUUAGUGGCGGACGGGUGCGUAACACGUGAGCAACUUGUCCUACGGUGGGGGAUAGCCGGCCCAACGGCCGGGUAAUACCGCGUAUUGCAUCGGCAUCGCAUGGUGCUGAUGUGAAAGCGGCCGCAAGGUCGCGCCGGAGGAGGGGCUCGCGGCGUAUCAGCUUGUUGGUGGGGUAACGGCCUACCAAGGCUACGACGCGUAGCUGGCCUGAGAGGAUGAUCAGCCACAUUGGGACUGAGAUACGGCCCAGACUCCUACGGGAGGCAGCAGUGGGGAAUAUUGCGCAAUGGCCGCAAGGCUGACGCAGCGACGCCGUGUGUGGGAUGAAGGCCCUCGGGUUGUAAACCACUGUCAGGAGGGACGAAUACUCGGCUUCAAAUAGUUGACCGAGGGUGACGGUACCUCCAGAGGAAGCACCGGCUAACUCCGUGCCAGCAGCCGCGGUAACACGGAGGGUGCGAGCGUUGUCCGGAUUCACUGGGCGUAAAGCGCGCGUAGGCGGUUCGGUAAGUCACCUGUGAAAUCCCGGGGCUCAACUCCGGGGCUGCAGGUGAUACUGCAGAGCUAGAGCUCGGUAGAGGCAAGUGGAAUUCCCGGUGUAGCGGUGGAAUGCGUAGAUAUCGGGAAGAACACCAGUGGCGAAGGCGGCUUGCUGGGCCGAUGCUGACGCUGAGGCGCGAAAGCGUGGGGAGCAAACAGGAUUAGAUACCCUGGUAGUCCACGCCGUAAACGAUGGGUACUAGGCGUCGGGGGGAGCGACCCCUUCGGUGCCGUCGCUAACGCACUAAGUACCCCGCCU